rnacentral:rRNA from 1 species
UACGUAGGGUCCGAGCGUUGUCCGGAAUUAUUGGGCGUAAAGGGCUCGUAGGCGGUUUGUCGCGUCGGGAGUGAAAACCUACAGCUUAACUGUGGGCUUGCUUUCGAUACGGGCAGACUUGAGGCAUGCAGGGGAGAACGGAAUUCCUGGUGUAGCGGUGAAAUGCGCAGAAUAUCAGGAGGAACACCGGUGGCGAAGGCGGUCUCUGGGCAUGUUCUGACGCUGAGGAGCGAAAGUGUGGGGAGCGAACAGG